GGCCUGGUGGUGUAGUUGUAGCACAUUCCUCACUCGUUACGUUGCGCGCGUCCCCUACUUCCACAACCCCUGUCGGGGAGGAAAUGAAUGGGUUCGAAUCCCAUCCAGGUCA